GACCGAACCGACUAAUGUUGAAAAAUUAGCGGAUGACUUGUGGCUGGGGGUGAAAGGCCAAUCAAACCGGGAGAUAGCUGGUUCUCCCCGAAAGCUAUUUAGGUAGCGCCUCGUGAAUUCAUCUCCGGGGGUAGAGCACUGUUUCGGCAAGGGGGUCAUCCCGACUUACCAACCCGAUGCAAACUGCGAAUACCGGAGAAUGUUAUCACGGGAGACACACGGCGGGUGCUAACGUCCGUCGUGAAGAGGGAAACAACCCAGACCGCCAGCUAAGGUCCCAAAGUCAUGGUUAAGUGGGAAACGAUGUGGGAAGGCCCAGACAGCCAGGAUGUUGGCUUAGAAGCAGCCAUCAUUUAAAGAAAGCGUAAUAGCUCACUGGUCGAGUCGGCCUGCGCGGAAGAUGUAACGGGGCUAAACCAUGCACCGAAGCUGCGGCAGCGACGCUUAUGCGUUGUUGGGUAGGGGAGCGUUCUGUAAGCCUGUGAAGGUGUGCUGUGAGGCAUGCUGGAGGUAUCAGAAGUGCGAAUGCUGACAUAAGUAACGAUAAAGCGGGUGAAAAGCCCGCUCGCCGGAAGACCAAGGGUUCCUGUCCAACGUUAAUCGGGGCAGGGUGAGUCGACCCCUAAGGCGAGGCCGAAAGGCGUAGUCGAUGGGAAACAGGUUAAUAUUCCUGUACUUGGUGUUACUGCGAAGGGGGGACGGAGAAGGCUAUGUUGGCCGGGCGACGGUUGUCCCGGUUUAAGCGUGUAGGCUGGUUUUCCAGGCAAAUCCGGAAAAUCAAGGCUGAGGCGUGAUGACGAGGCACUACGGUGCUGAAGCAACAAAUGCCCUGCUUCCAGGAAAAGCCUCUAAGCAUCAGGUAACAUCAAAUCGUACCCCAAACCGACACAGGUGGUCAGGUAGAGAAUACCAAGGCGCUUGAGAGAACUCGGGUGAAGGAACUAGGCAAAAUGGUGCCGUAACUUCGGGAGAAGGCA
rnacentral:rRNA from 1 species